rnacentral:rRNA from 1 species
UACGAAGGGGGCUAGCGUUGUUCGGAAUCACUGGGCGUAAAGGGCGCGUAGGCGGCCGAUCAAGUCGGGGGUGAAAGCCUGUGGCUCAACCACAGAAUUGCCUUCGAUACUGUUUGGCUUGAGACCGGAAGAGGUUAGUGGAACUGCGAGUGUAGAGGUGAAAUUCGUAGAUAUUCGCAAGAACACCAGUGGCGAAGGCGGCUGACUGGUCCGGUUCUGACGCUGAGGCGCGGAAGCGUGGGGAGCAAACAGG